ACUUUUAAUUUCUGUACCUAAAUAUGGACCAUUCACAAUUUGAUGCACUCACCCAACAAAUAGCGGCUAUCCAAACCCAAAUAACUGCUACUCUUAAAGAGAGUAAGGCCCUCUCUGGUAAUUUGAACAAUUUUAAGCAAAUCCCUCAUUCGAUUGACGUUGAUAAUUCUGAAGUAUCCCAUCAAUAGACAUUAUCAUCAUCGACGAGGAGAUCGAAAAUAUUUUGGAUACGAUCGUAAUGAUAGGAAAAAAUUUGUCGGCGAGAACAAGCCUAUAACCGUCACGGUGCUCAUUCUCUUCCUCAUUAUAAGGAGAGUUUCUUUAGGGACACUAAAUUACACACUUCUACUUUUGAUAGUUGCUUAGAUUUUGAAGUUUUUACUCAAUGGACUGCUCUUAAACAAGGGAAUCUGUUAGUGACUGACUAUAUUGCACAAUGAGGAAUUUCGAACCAAAUGUCAUGUCAUUGAAGAUGAGACCACGACUUUGAGUAGGUUUAGUAAGGUCUAAGAGAUGAUCUUAGACGUGAGCUUUUCUUUCGAGGUGUCACUACUCUUGAUCACGCUUAUUCUUUAGUCAGAGAGUAUGAGUUGACUAUUAGGACUCUAUAUGAAAAGCGUGAUCACGAUCGCUCACCCAUGUCAUUAGCGUUACCUCGUCAUAAGUCAAUCAUAGAGCAUUUCUCGUCUGAUGUUCCUCCCAUUUGGGAAAAUAAAUAUAAAGGUCAUGAUAUCCCAAGACCUUCUUCUUCGUAUCGAAGGGGUAGUGACAUUCUCCCUUUCGUCUCAUCAACACCACCUUCUCCUGUUAAGUCCUUUCUAGGUCCUCCCCCAUCUAAUGCUCCUCUGUUGGACAAUAAAGGUCAAGAUUUUAAAACUUCAAUAACUUCUUCUCAUUUGCAGUACCUUUGGCCACAUUUCUUCUGAAUGUUCUAAUCGAGCUUUAUUCAUUGAAGAAUAAAAGAAUAUGAGAGAUGAGCGAUUAGAAAAUCAAAU
rnacentral:lncRNA from 1 species